GAAGGGGGCUAGCGUUGCUCGGAAUUACUGGGCGUAAAGGGCGCGUAGGCGGAUCGUUAAGUCAGAGGUGAAAUCCCAGGGCUCAACCCUGGAACUGCCUUUGAUACUGGCGAUCUUGAGUAUGAGAGAGGUAUGUGGAACUCCGAGUGUAGAGGUGAAAUUCGUAGAUAUUCGGAAGAACACCAGUGGCGAAGGCGACAUACUGGCUCAUUACUGACGCUGAGGCGCGAAAGCGUGGGGGGGAGCAAACAGGAUUAGAUACCCUGGUAGUCCACGCCGUAAACCGAUGAUUGCUAGUUGUCGGGCUGCAUGCAGUUCGGUGACGCAGCUAACGCAUUAAGCAAUCCGCCUGGGGAGUACGGUCGCAAGAUUA
rnacentral:rRNA from 1 species